AUGACGGUACCGUAAGAAUAAGCACCGGCUAACUACGUGCCAGCAGCCGCGGUAAUACGUAGGGUGCGAGCGUUAAUCGGAAUUACUGGGCGUAAAGCGUGCGCAGGCGGUUAUAUAAGACAGUUGUGAAAUCCCCGGGCUCAACCUGGGAAUUGCAUCUGUGACUGUAUAGCUAGAGUACGGUAGAGGGGGAUGGAAUUCCGCGUGUAGCAGUGAAAUGCGUAGAUAUGCGGAGGAACACCGAUGGCGAAGGCAAUCCCCUGGACCUGUACUGACGCUCAUGCACGAAAGCGUGGGGAGCAAACAGGAUUAGAUACCCUGGUAGUCCACGCCCUAAACGAUGUCAACUGGUUGUUGGGUGCAUUAGUACUCAGUAACGAAGCUAACGCGUGAAGUUGACCGCCUGGGGAGUACGGCCGCAAGGUUGAAACUCAAANGAAUUGACG
rnacentral:rRNA from 1 species